UGAGGGAUAUUGGUCAAUGGGGGAAACCCUGAACCAGCAACGCCGCGUGAGGGAAGACGGUUUUCGGAUUGUAAACCUCUGUCCUCUGUGAAGAUAAUGACGGUAGCAGAGGAGGAAGCUCCGGCUAACUACGUGCC
rnacentral:rRNA from 1 species